rnacentral:tmRNA from 1 species
GGCUUCGACGUGGGUACGGAGUCGGAUCAGGGCAUGCCGAGCACCAGUUCGCUCGUUAAUCCACUGGAAGCAAGUAACUGCGAACGACGAACGUUUCGCCCUCGCCGCUUAAAACCGGUGAGCCUCGCAACGGUUGGCCGAUGGGCCGGGCCUGAUGCCGCAAGGCAAAGGGCUGCGAGGUCAUGCACAUUGGCUGGUCACCGCCCGGGUCACUCGGGCGAUGACGAGACUCAAGUGACUGGCGACCCCGGUAGCGUGCUGCUGCGCGAUCGGGGCCGCGAGAUUCAAAUCAGACAGCUACGCAUGUAGAA